rnacentral:tRNA from 1 species
AUCACAUUAGUAUACCAAGUACGUCCGCCUUCCAAGCAGAAAGAUUAGUAGCCCUAAACGUGAUA